UCGGGAAUUUUGGGCAAUGGGCGAAAGCCUGACCCAGCAACGCCGCGUGAAGGAUGAAGUAUUUCGGUAUGUAAACUUCGUAAGAAUAGGAAGAAUAAAUGACGGUACUAUUUGUAAGGUCCGGCUAACUACGUGCCAGCAGCCGCGGUAAUACGUAGGGACCAAGCGUUGUUCGGAUUUACUGGGCGUAAAGGGCGCGUAGGCGGCGUGGUAAGUCAUCUGUGAAAUCUCCGGGCUUAACUCGGAACGGUCAGAUGAUACUGCUUUGCUAGAGUGCAGAAGGGGCAAUCGGAAUUCUUGGUGUAGCGGUGAAAUGCGUAGAUAUCAAGAGGAACACCUGAGGUGAAGACGGGUUGCUGGGCUGACACUGACGCUGAGGCGCGAAAGCCAGGGGAGCAAACGGGAUUAGAUACCCGGGUAGUCCCUGAGCGGGCUGGCAAGGCGCAU
rnacentral:rRNA from 1 species